rnacentral:rRNA from 1 species
GACGAACGCUGGCGGCGUGCUUAACACAUGCAAGUCGAGCGGUAAGGCCCUUCGGGUACACGAGCGGCGAACGGGUGAGUAACACGUGGGUAACCUGCCCUCAGCUCUGGGAUAAGCCCGGGAAACUGGGUCUAAUACCGGAUAUCACCUUGGGAGGCAUCUUCCGGGGUUGAAAGUUCUUGGCGGCUGAGGAUGGGCCCGCGGCCUAUCAGCUUGUUGGUGGGGUAGUGGCCUACCAAGGCGACGACGGGAGCCGGCCUGAGAGGGCGACCGGCCACACUGGGACUGAGACACGGCCCAGACUCCUACGGGAGGCAGCAGUGGGGAAUAUUGCACAAUGGGCGAAAGCCUGAUGCAGCGACGCCGCGUGAGGGAUGACGGCCUU